rnacentral:rRNA from 1 species
AUUGAACGCUGGCGGCAGGCCUAACACAUGCAAGUCGAGCGGAUGAAGGGAGCUUACUCCUGGAUUCAGCGGCGGACGGGUGAGUAAUGCCUAGGAAUCUGCCUGGAAGUGGGGGAUAACGUCCGGAAACGGGCGCUAAUACCGCAUACGUCCUGUGGGAGAAAGUGGGGAACCUUCGGAGCUCACGCUAUCAGUUGAGCAUAGGUCGGAUUAGCUAGUUGGUGGGGUAAAGACCUACCAAGGCGACUAUCCGUAACUGGUCUGAAAGAAUGAUCAGGCACACUGUAACUGAGAAUCGGCCCACACACCUACGCGAGGCAACGGUGGGGAAUAUUAGACGAUGCACGAAAGCGUAAUCCAGCAAAGCCGCGUGUAGCAAGAAGGUCUUCCGAUGGUUAAGCACUUAAAGUUGGGAGGAAGGGCAGUAAGUUAAUAACUUGAUGUUUUGACGUUACCAGCAGAAUAAGCACCGGCUAACUUCGUG